rnacentral:lncRNA from 1 species
UGAGGUACGGAGGGGAUUAGUCUGAAACUAGUGCAUCCUACCAACGAGAGGCAACUGGGUAUGACCUCAUCAAGGAAUUAUUCCAUUGUUCCAUUGAUUGGGCUGUUGGGAGGCCUUGGUAACCCUGGAACAAGGGGCCAGGAGGGAAGAAGGGUGACCAGGAACAUGCCUUUGAGAGAUGUGCCUUGUCACUGACGUUUUCUGGUCUUUUGGCUUUCCUGUCAACCUGAGUCUUCUAGAAAACUACAGGAUGCUAUUGUGAGCGUCACUCCACGAAAUACUGACAGACUGGCUAUACAGUCAGGCUCUGUCACAGUCUGCACUUGUGAUGAGUCCAGCCACAGUUUGGAACAACAAUUGCUGUGCCCUGUGGUGGAUGCCUCAGAGAAGCUGUUUCGGGAUUCCUCGGCAAGUGAGGCACAUAUUGACUAUUUGGAGUACCCCCAACUUUCGACUGCUCCAUCCUUCACUCUCUGUCACAUAUCCCUGAGUGCUUUGUCCCUGAGAGUGCCUGCCACCUAGAACUCUGUGUUUCAUGCCUUGGGCCAUUGAUUUGCUUGCUAGGUUCUGUUUGACCUCAGGGACACAUCAUGUCACUGAUGCUAUUUUCAUCCUUCGCCGUGUAAUUGCACCUAGGAGUCCUGUCAGUCAAAUGCCCAGGUGUCACUUCAUGACACCCACUAUGCUCCAACAAAUCCAGGGCAGGGACAUGAAGCUGGUAUAUCUGUGGUGCAGAAAAAAGACUUGGGAAAAAUGCACUGGAGGGUGUCUUGUGAAGUACAGAGAAGGUGCGAGUGUCAUCUCUGAUCACUCCAGAUAAAUCCACUAGUGUAACAUCGAAGGGAAGGACAAAAGGGUGGGGCAGGAUCCUCAAUGACAGGAGAACCAAAACAAAGAGAAAGUCAAUUUCUGCAGGAGACAGGGAGACUGGGGUAAAUUUGGAGUGAGUGGCAGGUAGGAGCUAGAAGAGAACCAGGCUGCUACAUGCCUCCAGGCACCAGAGGGGUUUGGAGACCUCAGGUAGGCUGGGUCAUCCUGUCACACAAAGCAGAGAGUACACACAGCACCCUGGCCCCCUGUCCUCCCUCACUGCCCUGACACUGGGCCAAAGAACUGCUGUCUAGAAACACUGGCAAAAGGGGUCAGGAGAGUUUCUUAGCACAGCCUGCACACAGCCCCAACUGUGUCAUGCUGACAACAGGUGUCUUUAGUAAAAGACUUUAUGUGAAGACCACACACCAAUUUCAAAUAAGUCUACAUAGCUAUAUCGAGUGGCUGACUUCCUCCACCAUACCCUCCCUAUUUAUCUAUGACACACGGGCCCUCACAAAAACCAACUUACAGCUUUUCCUGCAUCUGGAAGGCUAGCAGUUCAGGGUAGGUACCUGCCAAGUGCCCUGUAAAUGACUAUUCUCCCUGACAAGAAAACUGGGUCCCCUUGCUCAGCCUCAUCUGUAGUGUUACAAAGUGAGACAUUCCUGGGUCAUCAUGUUUAAAAUCAUGGGACCGCCCUGGAUGACUGGAAACACUAAAAGGGACAGUUUGGAAUUACGGUGGAAGUCACAUGUGCUCCUUGCUUCCAAGUAGCAAGCAUUGUUCAGAACAUGACAAAGGCUGUCAGGACUUAGAGCAGAGGGAUCAGAGGGGCUGAGGACCAGUGAGAAACCAGGUCAAGGUAGGAUGGGUCAUUAUCCUUGAUGUAUACCCAUGUGAACGUCAGGCUAGAGGGUUGAGAGCCCCCAGUGCAUGGCCAUGUCUUCAUCCCAGCCUGAAGCGGGGGGGGGGGGCGGGGGGAGACCCUUGCCUGGAAUAAAGGCCUUUGCAGUUACUUGGAGGUCUGCUUGCUUGUGUUUAGCAUCAGCCAUCCCUCAGGAGGAACUGUCUUCGCAGACACACAGUCACAAAGGAGCUCUCUGGGGCCCCGUUUGCCCAUGUGUAAACUUGAGAAGGAUGAGGAGCAGCCGGACCAGAAGUGAAAUUCUGUGACGUCUCAGCUGCUGUAGAUGGGUGUGACCACAUGGCCAUAUCAAGAUCGCCACCAAAGGACCACAACUCCCAGCCAAGGUCGUGCCAGGUGCCAUGGCGAGAAGAGCUACUGUAUCCCAUGACCAGAGGCUCUUCACUAUGCAC